CGGACGGGUGAGUAACACGUGGGUAACCUACCCAUCAGAGGGGGAUAACACUUGGAAACAGGUGCUAAUACCGCAUAAUGUCUGCGGACCAAAGCGGGGGACCUCCGGGCCUCGCGCCAUCAGAUGAACCCAUAUGGGAUUAGCUUGUAGGUAAGGUAACGGCUUACCUAGGCGACGAUCCCUAGCUGGUCUGAGAGGAUGAUCAGCCACACUGGGACUGAGACACGGCCCAG
rnacentral:rRNA from 1 species